rnacentral:rRNA from 1 species
AUUGAACGCUGGCGGCAUGCCUUACACAUGCAAGUCGAACGGCAGCACGGGAGCAAUCCUGGUGGCGAGUGGCGAACGGGUGAGUAAUAUAUCGGAACGUGCCCAGUCGUGGGGGAUAACGUAGCGAAAGCUACGCUAAUACCGCAUACGAUCUAUGGAUGAAAGCGGGGGAUCGCAAGACCUCGCGCGAUUGGAGCGGCCGAUAUCAGAUUAGGUAGUUGGUGAGGUAAAGGCUCACCAAGCCGACGAUCUGUAGCUGGUCUGAGAGGACGACCAGCCACACUGGGACUGAGACACGGCCCAGACUCCUACGGGAGGCAGCAGUGGGGAAUUUUGGACAAUGGGCGCAAGCCUGAUCCAGCAAUGCCGCGUGCAGGAUGAAGGCCUUCGGGUUGUAAACUGCUUUUGUACGGAGCGAAAAGGCUUCCACUAAUACUGGGGGCUCAUGACGGUACCGUAAGAAUAAGCACCGGCUAACUCUGUGCCAGCAGCCGCAGUAACAC